AACCCGAUCCGCCGCCUCCUCCACGCGAGGGCCCCGGGGAUGCGCAGCGAGGGCGGCGCCGUGAGGAGCUUCUAGAGGAGACCGGGCAGAGGCGCUGGAGCUCGCGUCGCUGGAGAUGGGGAGGCGCAGUGGAGCGCGUACCUCUACUCCAUCGUGGUCGCCGUCUCCAAGAUCGCCCACGUCGCCCUCCUCGCGCCGCUCGUCACCUCCAUGUUCGCCCUCGUCGGUUGCGGCCUCGCACUCCUCAUUCGGCCGCGGCGGUCCACAGCUGGGGGGCAAACGCUAGCGCGGUAGGCAGCUGAGCAGCAGGGUUGAGGUCGACGACGGUGGCUGCAGCAGGUGGAUGAUGACGGCAGCAUCGGCUCGCCCUCCGCCGCCUCGUCGUGGUCGCCUCCAAUGAGGGCAACGGUGCAGGCGGUGGAAAGCACGGUGGUGCUUCAAAUCCUUGAUCCCAAGCCGGAGAUUCAUUCAGAUGCAGGGAACGGAGGCGAGCCAUCAGAGGUCACACGCGCCUUCUCCUCCCUGCUCACUCGUGGUGGGCUAGGGCCGGAGCUCAAAGGUUGCCGGAGCCGCUCAUCCACCCUGUACCUGAUUUGAUUUGAGCAGAGAAAAGUAGAGAGUGGUGGAUUCGCAUCCUCGACAGCCCGCCAGCUAGGAUUUGCGGCGGGGAGAUGCGAAGUCUAGCUUCAUUGUUGGGUUCUUUACUGGACGUGAUGCAGUGUUCGGCAAGGUGAUUUGGAGGAAGGUGGCGACCAGUACUCGGCAAAACUGUUGUGUUGGAGGAGGGCAAAUUUGCCAUGAAUAGUUUUGUAUUUACUUCAGCCCGACACUGAAAAAUGGUUUGGUCCUUUCUUUCGUUAAAUGGUGAGAGAUGCCUGCCAAAUAUUCCUCCACUGAAGCCUGCGAUGAGUAUAGAGGAGUUUGAGUCUUCUAUUUUGCAGCUAGGGUUUUGGUUUAUAGAAUAUAUUCUUACCGAUGGCGAUUACAGGCAGCAUUUAUGUUCAUAUUGUCCAUGGCUGGUACAAGCAAGCACAUAUUCCAUACAUUUCUGGCUGCCGGAGCUUGGUGUGAGUUCUUGUGAUGGCAUGGUGAGGGUGGUUAGCGGUGGCGUGACGGUGCUGCAACUGUUGCAAGGUUAUAGGUCACUACAGGAAAGCCAAUACCCACUCUAAAAUUCAUUCCACCUAAUGUAACAGCGAGGUGUUGGUGGUGUCCCUGAUGAGGUCGCUUGCUUCCUUCUUUUCCGUAAUCCAUCUGGUCCAAUGGGUUCCACGGUUCUGCCAUUAAAGUUCAUUUUUAUUCUAUGGCCACUGCAGACCAUGCUGAAGUUCAGGAAGUUGUUGCAUGAGGUCAAGAAGGUGAUUGAAGGUGGUGCUUCCAGCGAGGAGAAAAGAUGAAGAGAAGGCGGCGCGGGGGAGACCGGCAGCGUCGGCGCUGACUCGUCGACGAGCGCCUCCACAGGAGGUGGCACUGAGAGACCGGCUGUAACGACGGCCGGCGAGCUCGACGAGAUGGCGUGUUAGGGUUAGCUGUUGCGAGCGCGCCGCCGAGUGCGCCAUGAGCGCCUCCCUACUUCCUCGCUGCUCUCCUGUGUUGGGAAUGGAGGACGAGGGGGUGCGAGUGGACCCGAGGCUGGUCUGGUUCGUUGGCGAGGAAGAUCAACUAGGGAGAAAAGAUCCAGGCAUAAACAAACCUGCUGCGCUACUGGAUAAAAACUUGAUGAGAUACAUCGUCUCGGUUCUGAAGCAUAGUGCACAAUACUCAUAAUUAGAAGCGCUGAGCAUUCGUGUUGCCCUUGUGCUUUGAGGUAUUUCUCAUUUCCAUUACCUUCUCCAUCCUCUCAGGCUAGCCCUUCAAAUCAGAUGUACUUUUGAAUCUGUUUUUCACCUACUUUUUAAACUGGAUUUGCUGCAUUACAUGAGCCAUCCAUGGAAAUGCUCGCCAUUAGGUCGACAAUUGCCAACCGGUGUAAUUAGUUCAUCCUUUUAGUGGAGAUUUAAUGAAUCGACUGUAUCUUGUAUCUAUUCAGUUCGAUUUUGGAAUUAUUUUGACUGAGUGGAACUAAUUUUGAAAAGCAUUUUGGAGAAUCACUUUGUCCAUUUUAAUGCACAUUUUCAUUGAAAUAUGGCGCCAACAUAACUGUGCUUUACCUCACACGAUUCAGAAAUAUUAGCACUCAGCGGAACUAAUUUUGAGUAUUGUUGAGACUGCCGUGUUGGUUGCUUGCUUUUCUGAAUCAAGAACUGUAGGUAAAGAAAUGCUCGACAAGGUUUUUCUAAACAUACAAUGUAUUCUUCUGCAUCUUUUUUGAUGUUUAAUUAUUAACUCAGACAAGUGAAUUGUUAUUUCUGCAACCGCAAAUUUUGCUAUGGUUCUAAUUGUGUAUGGCAUAUUGGCCUUCCAUAUAUGUUGCCCUUCCACUUGUUUCCUUAUUCACAAUUUGGUAUCCUCUAAAAAAUGCCGAUAUGAUCUGCAUGAUUCUGUAUUCAUAGUUCGUUUUCUUGACGAAAAUGGUUCUUUUAUCUUAUGGUACUACCAAAUUUUGGAUGUAAGGGCAUGUUUGGGUGCCAAAAUUUUGGCAAGCUAUGAUUUAUUGGGGCUUGUUUGGUUGGUAGCCAAAAUUUUGGUCGGCACUAGAAAAUUGCCCACCAAACUCACGAUUCCCCUUCACCUUGCCAAAAAUUGCCCACGUACUUAGCUAAUUUUGUGGCUAGCCAAUGGUUGGAAAAAAUUGGUAGUGCAUGAGAUGGCUCAAACCAAACAUAACUUAAAACCAGUAACAAAGGGCCGAGCCAUGGUUUUAGAGUUGGCUGAAAUUUGGCGUGGGAGGGUUACUUUAGUAAGUUAAUUUUUGAAACUGAGACUAUCUCAUGCGUAUAUGGUUGUUGCUCUUACGUUUGGUUAUGUUGAAAUGAAGUAAAUGAGGUAGUUAGAAAGCAUACGAGGUAACCAAAUGAGACGGUGUCCACAAGAAGAUAGCAUGCUCUACAGAAUUCGACAAAUUUCUUAUGGGGAGAAAACAAGACAGAAAAGACGACAUCUUUUGGUUUCAGAUAUAUUUGUUACUCAAAUUUGUGUGGCGAAGCUGUCUUAAUCAUCACCAUUUUAAUGUCUGAUGAUUACUUAAGUUAGGGCAUUUUUAAAACAGAGAUUACCUCUGACUCUACCGUCUUGUUCAUUGUCUAAUUGAAUCUUUCAGAAGGUUCAGUUUUGUGUUUCCCUUCGUAACAGACUGAUACGUCUCCGACGUAUCGAUAAUUUCUUAUGUUCCAUGCCACAUUAUUGAUGUUAUCUACAUGUUUUAUGCACACUUUAUGUCAUAUUCGUGCAUUUUCUGGAACUAACCUAUUAACGAGAUGCCGAAGUGCCAGUUCCUGUUUUCUGCUGUUUUUGGUUUCAGAAAUCCUAGUAACGAAAUAUUCUCGGAAUCGGACGAAAUCAACGCCAAAGAUCUUAGAAUCCCCGGAAGCAUCCAGAACACACGAGAGGGACCAGAGGGGGGGCACAGGCCCACCAAACCACAUGGUGGCGCGGCCUAGGGGGGGCCCGCGCCCCCCUAUGGUUUGGGCAGCCCGUGGCCCCUCCGACUCCGAUUCUUCGCCUAUUUAAGCCGUCGUGACCUAAAACUUCGACACCAAUUGACGAAA